UUUAGUCAUAUAGUAGAGUAAUUAAUAUGGAAGCUUCAUACAGGACGAUAACUUGCCUUAUACAGGAGAAUUCGGUAAGGCAGAGUAGGCUGAAGCUUGGUGAUUUCGAUUUUAUUUCCUUUUGUAUAAUAUUGGUUUAUCAAUUAAGCCAAAAUUUUCCAGAAUUUAUAUGGGGUAGGCCUACAGGUGUUUGGUUAUUUUCGCUUGUAGGCCUACAUUCUUACUAAAAAUUGCAAUGAGUGCUCAUAUACGAAAGAAAUAUAAGAAGAUGUCGAUGGUUGUAGCUACUUAUUAUAGUAGCAAAGUCAAUAUUUCAUGGGAGAAGUUGCAGAGUAUAAAUUCAGACAUGACGACACAAACCUAGGCUUAAGGAGGGUCAUAAGGUAGUGAAGACUCGAGCUUAAGAGAGUAAUCUUUAUUUUUGUUUUCUUUUUGUAUAGAAUUGGUAUAUAAGCUCUUGUGAAAUAUUGGUGGAUAGAGGGUGUGUUCGGUUAGACCAUAUGAUCGAUAGGUAUAGAUAAGGAGGAGCAUUUAUAGAGGUUUGUCCAGACUUUUGAAAAGUCAACAUGAGGAAUGGAACGAUUUGGUUAAUGUCAACUAAUAUUACAUGAUUAAUCUAACACCCAAGCCGAGUACACACCAGCCAAGACGCCGACAUCCUGUCGCAAUUCAAUUACAGGAAAUGAG